CUGGGACAUCAGAAAGCUCCUUUAUUCAUGCACUUGAGGAUGUAUCAGUUAUGAAAGGAAGGGCACCAACCAUCAAUCACAGCACAUUUAGUAGAUCUUUUAAAGAGUGGAAAUUCUGUCAGUUUGAAUUAGGUCAUCUGCAAGGUCACAACUGGAUUAUUUGCCCUACAUGUUCCAUCUUUCAGCACUCCUGCCAUGUUGAUGGAAAUAUGAAACUGUAUUGUUACAGUUCAUCUGAAGGACAAAGGAGGCAAUCAUAUUAUGAAGAUCGUUUUAUUGCCAACAAAGGGGAUGUUGAUGGUCACAUGAACAAAGUAUAUGCAAAGCAGUCCAAAUCUAAGGAACAAGACAAUAUGUGUGGGGAAUCACAUUGGUGGGCUGCUUCUAAUAAGGGUAGAGAGACAGCCAAACUAGAUGAGACAGGACUUGAGAUCACAGGCUGCCAGCAUGGUUUGGCACAAUGGGCAGUGAACAUGUACCAGGGGGAGCUGUAUGGCUAUGCCCACUAUAUUCAGGUCAAGAAAAUGAUACCAGCCGGAGUUGCAUUUUUUUGGGAAGAUAUUGUAUGCAAGUAUUAGAAGUGGGCUAAAAAGGCUGGUGGCAUCGAAGGUUCCAGAAUGAGACCAGCGCUCUCCAUAAUGCACACAAAGGCACACAAUUGGACAUGCCAGGGCAUUUUUACCAGGUGAUAUUGGAGGGGGGGGGUCGUUUGCAAGAAGGAAGUGCUAGUUCAACUGGCAAAGAAGUGGAGCAGAUUAGUUCAUACAUGACUCGUUGUGGAAAUACUAUCAAGUACAUACUUCCUUAGAAUCGUGAGGAGCUCAUUACUGAGCAUGCUAUUGCUUGGAAUGAAAGAAAAAUCAAUGGCAUGGCACAGAGCCUGUCAAGACGACACACAUGGGCCGUAAAAAUGAAAGCAGAAUCGCAAAAAGAUUUUGAUGACGUUUUAGACAGGAAUUAUGUAUCACUGGAUGACUUUAAGCCAGAUGAGUGGAAGAGUAUUGUUGUUAAUCAUGCACAUGAGGUGGAAGCCUUGCAAGGCAAGGGCACUGGUAUACUGCAGAUUCAAGAUGAGGUUGAAAUGUUGGUUUCUGCCAUUCAACAGACCACUCAUUCAAUAAGCAGAAUAGCAGACUUGUCCAAACAGCGUGCACACCUCUGCAAAAAGAUUUCUUCAAACAAGAAUAAGCUGUCUUCCCUAAUAGAUAAGUACAAUCAAGAGGAAGAAGGCAUUGAAGCUUUGCAAGCUACUGUCUCUGAAGUUAUGAAGGGGAAUUUCCCAUGGGGAAACACAACAGGUAAACUUUGUGAAUUUUAGUACUCAGUUCAACUUGUCUCUUUUGUUGAGUAUUUCUGCUUGUAGCUGUCAUUUUUGUUCUAAGUAUAUUUUCAUCCUAUCAUCGAUAAAGUACUUUCUUGUACAUUGUACAACUUACUAAUUUUAUAUAUGAUAAGACACACUUGUGAUAGGGGGUAGCUUAGUAGCUACGGUCAUUGUGUUGAUGUCUUAAGAAAGACACUAUGCACCAGCACUGCCCCUCUCAAGCAAACUGUACCAGCAAACUGUUCACAACUUCUAAUAGAUCAGGCCCCUUCCAAGGUGUUGCGUUUUUUCCUACUUCUGUCUAACCUCAGUACGCAGGACAUUAAAAUCAAGAACAACAACAACAACAACAACAACAGCAACAACAACAAGCCGCUUGUGUUCUUUGCUUUUAAAACGUUAUUUUGCAAAUAGCAAAUGCUAAUCUAGGCGGGCCAGUGAUUGCUUAUGCAUAAAAC
rnacentral:misc_RNA from 1 species